UUAAGCUUCGACUAUCGCAUGCUUAAAAAUUGGAACCCUUUAAUUUAAAUCCGACACUGCUUCCAGCAAUUGAAGCUGAAUGUAAGAUUAUUUAUUGUACAACGAAAUGCGCAACAAAAAAAAACAAAAAUUCUUACAAUAAAAGGAAGGAGUGCCAGUUGUCUUAGCUUUUUUUUUUGCCUCGAUAAAUAACUUUUAUCUAUUAUUGUUUUUGUUUUAAUAAGAUUCACUGAAUCUUAUGAAACAUCCCAGUCCACCCGGCUCUAUUUUUUGUGUUGUUCGUAGAAUAAUUUAAUUUUAUUUUUAUUGUACGGAUUUUCUUGUUGCUAUAUUUCUUUUUGCUGCUUGCUUCAUUUUGUAGGUAGAGAGAAUCUUUAGGUACGUUUAUCUAUAAAGAAAAGUUAAAUGAAGAGGGGUUGGGGCGGCGGCGUAAUAAAAUGCUGCAUAUUGUUGUGGCGGGGUUGAUACUUCCUUUGUUGCGUCUACGUAUAAACAAAUUAUUUACUUUUUAUUUUGUAAAUUUUCUUCAACCAGAGGAGGAACGAGCAGCUUUACUCGUGUUGUUUGAUUUGUUUAUGUAGAUUUUGUUUUUUACUUUUAGAGUAGAAUUCUUUUUCGGUGUAUAAUUUAUUUUUAUAAAAGUGAUGUCAAUGGUUAACUGUUAUAAAGAGCAUCGAACGAUAAAGUUAAAUAGAUUCGUACUAUUUCUAAUAUAAAUUCAAUGAAAUAAUACAAAAAAACAAUAAGAAGAAGAGAACAAAACCUUAGCCUCCUUAAGAGAGGGUCAAGACUGUUUAGAUAAGAAGGAUUUUUUUUCUUUUUUGAAAACUAUUCGAUGUUAUUUUGUUAAAGAAUUUAUUGGUGCAACAGAACGGACAAAUGAUUAACAAAAAAUCAUUUACGCUUUUGAUAUGUUUAUAAAUAAAUACAGCGCGGCGGAUCGAAACGAAUCGAAAGUGAUAUCUCGCAAUUUAGAUUGCUUUGGCUAUACAAGAAUGUUUUAGAUUUUAGAUUGAACAGCGUCAACAUGACAACACUUGACAAAUUGAAGGCUGUCAAUUAUUCUGUUUCGUAGUGGUGUUCGAAAAAUGGAAGUAGACCUGCCAAAAAAUCCAGAUCUGCAAAAAUCGGCUCGUUUGGUAUUAAAAAUCCUGCAAUCGAUGGGCAUAGAGAAUAAUCUUUAGCAUGUCAAUCGAAAAAUAAGAGUACAGUAGACUCGCGGUAACGUGAACUAUUAAAAACCGAGCGUGUUCACGUUAUAGAAGAUGUUGAUGUUGAUGAAAGUGUAGUUCUUAAAAUAGU